GUGGGGAAUAUUGGGCAAUGGGGGAAACCCUGACCCAGCAACGCCGCGUGAAGGAAGAAGGCUUUCGGGUUGUAAACUUCUUUUACCAGGGAAAAACACAAUGAUGGUACCUGGAGAAAAAGCUACGGCUAACUACGUGCCAGCAGCCGCGGUAAUACGUAGGUGGCAAGCGUUGUCCGGAAUUACUGGGUGUAAAGGGCGUGUAGGCGGAACUACAAGUCAGGGGUGAAAACUAUGGGCUUAACCCAUAGCCUGCCUUUGAAACUGUAGUCCUUGAGUGCUGGAGAGGCAAGUGGAAUUCCUAGUGUAGCGGUGAAAUGCGUAGAUAUUAGGAGGAACACCAGUGGCGAAGGCGAAUUGCUGGACAGUAACUGACGCUGAGGCGCGAAAGCGUGGGGAGCAAACAGGAUUAGAAACCCCGGUAGUCC
rnacentral:rRNA from 1 species